rnacentral:rRNA from 1 species
GCCUACAACCAUAUCACCCUUAAUGCGCCUGAUCUCACCAGAUUUCAGAAGCUAAGCAAGGUUAAGCCUUUGGUGAGUACUUGCAUGUGAAGCCACCCAGGAAUUAAAGGCAUUCUAGGCU